UUGUGUUAGCGAUUGUAAUGACAUCCUUAAUUUUGCUGCCAUAUAUGGCAAAAUUAAGAUAUAAUGAAAAGCGCGACCACCU
rnacentral:sRNA from 1 species